GGGAGGGUAAGGCUCUGUAAGGCUGCGCUCCGGGAAACUUGAAAACCGCCGACUCGCAAGGGUCCCAGAGUUCGAAUCUCUGCGCUUCCGCCA
rnacentral:tRNA from 1 species